GUUUUUGGAGGUUGCUCCUUCACAGAGUUCUGGUGAUGAGCCUCAAUGUUUUCUGUCUAGACUGAAGGCCUCAGAAUUGAAAUUCUCAACUUUUUAGGGUGUGAUCUUCUGUAAGACUGUAAACCACGUAAUGAUGGAAAAAAAAAGCCGGGCACAAUUUGCUGAUUCACGCAGCAUAGAGAGCAGAUAUGUCCUAAAUUUCUGCAGAGUAAAAACGUCAGCAAUUUUCAGCAUGAAGAGACAGAAAGCUUGACUAAAAAUACAUAAAAGCACAUUUGGAAUAAAGUGAAAAACAACCUAAAAAUGUUA